rnacentral:rRNA from 1 species
GAUGAACGCUGGCGGCGUGCCUAAUACAUGCAAGUCGAGCGAACGGACGCUAAGCUUGCUUCUCUGAUGUUAGCGGCGGACGGGUGAGUAACACGUGGAUAACCUACCUAUAAGACUGGGAUCACUUCGGGACACCGGCGCUAAUCCCGUAUAAUAUUUUGAACCGCAUUGUUCAAAAGUGAAAGACGGUCUUGCUGUCUCUUCUAGAUGGAUCCGCGCUGCAUUAGCUAGUUGGUAAGGUAACGGCUUACCAAGGCAACGAUGCAUAGCCGACCUGAGAGGGUGAUCGGCCACACUGGAACUGAGACGCGGUCAAGACUCCUAAGGGAGGGAGCAGUAGGGAAUCUUCCGCAAUGGGCGAGAGCAUGACGGAGCAACGCCGCGUGAGUGAUGAAGGUCUUCGGAUCGUAAAAAUCUGUUAUUAGGGAAGAACAGAUGUGGAAGGAACUGUGCACAGAGUGACGGUAACUAAUCAGAAAGCAACGGCUAACUACGUG